UAUGGAGAUUACUCCAAUCCCCAGAAAUACAGAGAAACAAAAGAAAUAAGAGGGUGGUUUAUUUAGAAGAGAUGUAUAAUGUGUCUAGACCCUAUUUUUGUGCAUUUAUGUGGUGGCAUUCCA